GUCCACGCCGUAACGAUGAAUACUAGGUGUCGGGACAUAGUCCUUCGGUGCCGCAGCAAACGCAAUAAGUAUUCCACCUGGGGAGUACGUUCGCAAGAAUGAAACUCAAAGGAAUUGACGGGACCCGCACAAGCGGUGGAGCAUGUGGUUAAUUCGAAGCAACGCGAAGAACCUUACCAAGUCUUGACAUCCCGGUGACAAAGUAUGUAAUGUACUCUUUCUUCGGAACACCGGUGACAGGUGGUGCAUGGUUGUCGU
rnacentral:rRNA from 1 species